CAGAGUUGUCAAGCCAGCAGAGGAUUUUGGUUCAAAGGCCAGAGAAAAGACAGAUAAUUAGACUUAACUCUUCCUUUUCUUCAUAUAACGAAAAAGUUAAAAUAUUUAGAUAAUGAACAAAGUUGCAAUGAUCUUUCUUUUCAUUUUUGUAUUUUUAAUGGAAUGUCUGCUUCAUUUGAACAUGAUUUAUUCAGCACCCAUAAAAUUGAAUCAAUCACCAGCCAAACCAAAUGAAAACAAUAGCAGUCAUCAACAUAGCGGAUUUCCAUCAAAGUACUCAGGCAUGAUGAGAAAUGAGACUGUUGUUCUAGAGGGAAAAGUCUGGAAAAAUUCUGAUAUAGCAUAUGCUAUACCUAAACGAUACAUCAAAUGGGAUAUAGGGAAUAUGGACUUCUAAAAUUCACAAAUAGUCCUCUAAUCAAAUCCCUUUUAGACAGUACCACACAAAUCAAAACAAUAAAUGUAUCAUUUAAUUAGCAAAGUAUGGCUACUCUUCUUUCAACCAAAUAAACUGCAAGUGUCAUACUGAGCCAGAAAUUCAGAUUCUUCACAAUGCAGGAGAGAGGUUCUUUGACUAAGCACAGGAGGCAGAUGAAAUAGGGGAGCCAGGCACUCAGUAGGUAUUUAAUUUGUAAUUGUUUUCACAGACUGUGCAAUCUAUUCUCAGGGUUUUUUUUUUUUAAUUUACUUAAAAUGAUAUUUCUG
ensembl:lncRNA